rnacentral:rRNA from 1 species
CAGCUAGUUGGUAGGGUAACGGCCUACCAAGGCUUUGAUCGUUAGCUGGUCUGAGAGGAUGGCCAGCCACACUGGAACUGAGACACGGUCCAGACUCCUACGGGAGGCAGCAGUGGGGAAUCUUGCACAAUGGGCGAAAGCCUGAUGCAGCGACGCCGCGUGGGGGAUGAAGCAUCUCGGUGUGUAAACCCCUUUCGACCCGGAAGAAUGCCUCGCAAGAGGACUGACGGUACGGGUAUAAGAAGCCCCGGCUAACUACGUGCCAGCAGCCGCGGUAAGACGUAGGGGGCCAGCGUUGUUCGGAAUUACUGGGUGUAAAGGGUUCGUAGGCGGUGUGGCAAGUUGGGAGUGAAAUCUCUGGGCUCAACCCAGAGGCUGCUUCCAAAACUGCUGUGCUUGAGUGUGGGAGAGGCGCGUGGAAUUGCAGGUGUAGCGGUGAAAUGCGUAGAUAUCUGCAGGAACACCCGUGGCGAAAGCGGCGCGCUGGACCACUACUGACGCUGAGGAACGAAAGCUAGGGGAGCAAACAGGAUUAGAUACCCUGGUAGUCCUACCCCUAAACGA